CCUACGGGGGGCAGCAGUGAGGAAUAUUGGUCAAUGGGCGCAAGCCUGAACCAGCCAAGUCGCGUGAGGGAUGACGGUCCUAUGGAUUGUAAACCUCAUUUGUCGGGGAGCAAGUCCCGCCACGUGUGGCGGGAAGGCGAGUACCCGAAGAAAAAGCAUCGGCUAACUCCGUGCCAGCAGCCGCGGUAAUACGGGGGGUGCAAGCGUUGUCCGGAGUCAUUGGGGGUACAGGGUUAGUAGGCGGGACGUAAAGUCUGGUGUUAAAGGCAGGGGCUUAACUUCUGUACGGCACUGUAUACUUGCGAGCUAGAGUGCAGUAGGGGUAAAGGGAAUUCCUGGUGUAGCGGUGAAAUGCUUAGAUAUCAGGAGGAACACCGGUGGCGUAAGCGCUUUACUGGGCCGUAAUUGACGCUGAGGAACGAAAGCGAGGGGAGCAAAUGGGAUUAGAUACCCCAGUAGUC
rnacentral:rRNA from 1 species